CUACGUAGGUGGCAAGCGUUGUCCGGAAUUAUUGGGCGUAAAGCGCGCGCAGGCGGUCCUUUAAGUCUGAUGUGAAAGCCCACGGCUCAACCGUGGAGGGUCAUUGGAAACUGGGGGACUUGAGUGCAGAAGAGGAAAGUGGAAUUCCAAGUGUAGCGGUGAAAUGCGUAGAGAUUUGGAGGAACACCAGUGGCGAAGGCGACUUUCUGGUCUGUAACUGACGCUGAGGCGCGAAAGCGUGGGGAGCAAACAGGAUUAGAUACCCUGGUAGUCCACGCCGUAAACGAUGAGUGCUAAGUGUUAGGGGGUUUCCGCCCCUUAGUGCUGCAGCUAACGCAUUAAGCACUCCGCCUGGGGAGUACGGUCGCAAGACUGAAACUCAAAUGAAUUGACGGGG
rnacentral:rRNA from 1 species